rnacentral:misc_RNA from 1 species
UCCGGUUUAUCACCGGCAGUUUCCCAAGAGUGCUGUACCCUUGCGGAUACUUAGCAACAUAGGAUAAGGGUUGCGCUCGUUGCGGGACUUAACCCAACAUCUCACGACACGAGCUGACGACAACCAUGCAGCACCUCUACCGGCUCCCUUGCGGGUCAUUCCUGUUUCUAGGUUUUACCACCGGCUCUUCAAGCCCAGGUAAGGUUUUUCGCGUUGCGUCGAAUUAAACCACAUACUCCACCGCUUGUGCGGGCCCCCGUCAAUUCCUUUGAGUUUCAACCUUGCGGCCGUACUCCCCAGGCGGUUCACUUAAUGCGUUAGCUUCGGCGCGGAAGGGGUCGAUACCACCCACACCUAGUGAACAUCGUUUACAGCUAGGACUA